GAUGAACGCUGGCGGCGUGCCUAACACAUGCAAGUCGAGCGAUCUUCUUCGGAAGAGAGCGGCGGACGGGUGAGUAACGCGUGGGUAACCUGCCCUGUACACACGGAUAACAUACCGAAAGGUAUGCUAAUACGGGAUAACAUAAGAAAUUCGCAUGUUUUUCUUAUCAAAGCUCCGGCGGUACAGGAUGGACCCGCGUCUGAUUAGCUAGUUGGUGAGGUAACGGCUCACCAAGGCGACGAUCAGUAGCCGACCUGAGAGGGUGAUCGGCCACAUUGGAACUGAGACACGGUCCAAACUCCUACGGGAGGCAGCAGUGGGGAAUAUUGCACAAUGGGCGAAAGCCUGAUGCAGCAACGCCGCGUGAGCGAUGAAGGCCUUCGGGUCGUAAAGCUCUGUCCUCAAGGAAGAUAAUGACGGUACUUGAGGAGGAAG
rnacentral:rRNA from 1 species